rnacentral:rRNA from 2 species
UGGGGAAUAUUGCACAAUGGAGGGAACUCUGAUGCAGCGACGCCGCGUGAACGAAGAAGGCUUUCGAGUCGUAAAGUUCUUUUAUAUGGGAAGAUAAUGACGGUACCAUAAGAAAAAGCCCCGGCUAACUACGUGCCAGCAGCCGCGGUAAUACGUAGGGGGCUAGCGUUGUCCGGAAUCACUGGGCGUAAAGGGUUCGCAGGCGGAAAUGCAAGUCAGGUGUAAAAGGCAGUAGCUUAACUACUGUAAGCAUUUGAAACUGCAUAUCUUGAGAAGAGUAGAGGUAAGUGGAAUUUCUAGUGUAGCGGUGAAAUGCGUAGAUAUUAAAAAGAAUACCGGUGGCGAAGGCGACUUACUGGGCUCAUUCUGACGCUGAGGAACGAAAGCGUGGGUAGCAAACAGG